AUUGAACGCUGGCGGCAGGCCUAACACAUGCAAGUCGAGCGGAGCUGCGGACGGGUGAGUAAUGCCUAGGAAUCUGCCUGGUAGUGGGGGAUAACGUCCGGCAUCGGGCGCUAAUACCGCAUACUAUCAGAUGAGCCUAGGUCGGAUUAGCUAGUUGGUGGGGUAAAGGCCUACCAAGGCGAAGAUCCCUAGCUGGUCUGAGAGGAUGACCAGCCACACGGGAACUGAGACACGGUCCAGACUCCUACGGGAGGAAGCAGUGGGGAAUAUUGCACAAUGGGCGCAAGCCUGAUGCAGCCAUGCCGCGUGUAUGAAGAAGGCCUUCGGGUUGUAAAGUACUUUCAGCGGGGAGGCGUUACCCGCAGAAGAAGCACCGGCUAACUCCGUGCCAUCAGCCGCGGUAAUUC
rnacentral:rRNA from 1 species